UUCCAAUGGUAGCUGAAUUAAGUGAAGCGAAUUUGCCCCUAUUUCAACAAAGAAAAUUUGUCAGUUAAAAACUUAGUGGUGGCUUGCAGAUCUUGGCUUCUCAGGUAUCUGCCCAGCACUCGUUCCUUUCAUCUUUGUUCUAAAUCGCUAACACUUGACCUGUCUUGCCGCAUCAUUGACGCGGAUCCAUAUUGAGGGAAGUGAG
rnacentral:lncRNA from 1 species